GGCCUGCGGAGGGAUCAUUACACAACAAAAUAUGAAGGCCUGGCUUCGCGGCCGGCUGAAAUAUUUUUUUCACCCAUGUCUUUUGCGCACUUGUUGUUUCCUGGGCGGGUUCGCCCGCCACCAGGACCAAACCAUAAACCUUUUUUUUAUGCAGUUGCAAUCAGCGUCAGUAAAAACAAUGUAAUUAUUACAACUUUCAACAACGGAUCUCUUGGUUCUGGCAUCGAUGAAGAACGCAGCGAAAUGCGAUACGUAGUGUGAAUUGCAGAAUUCAGUGAAUCAUCGAAUCUUUGAACGCACAUUGCGCCCUUUGGUAUUCCAAAGGGCAUGCCUGUUCGAGCGUCAUUUGUACCUUCAAGCUUUGCUUGGUGUUGGGCGUUUUUUGUCUCCCUCUUUCUGGGAGACUCGCCUUAAAACGAUUGGCAGCCGGCCUACUGGUUUCGGAGCGCAGCACAUAUUUUGCGCUUUGUAUCAGGAGAAAAGGACGGUAAUCCAUCAAGACUCUACAUUUUUAACUUUUGACCUCGGAUCAGGUAGGGAUACCCGCUGAACUUAAGCAUAUCAAAGGC
rnacentral:rRNA from 1 species